GUAGGUGGCAAGCGUUGUCCGGGAAUUAUUGGGGCGUAAAGCGCGCGCAGGCGGUUCUUUAAGUCUGAUGUGAAAGCCCACGGGCUCAACCGUGGAGGGUCAUUGGAAACUGGAGAACUUGAGUACAGAAGAGGAAAGCGGAAUUCCACGUGUAGCGGUGAAAUGCGUAGAGCUGUGGAGGAACACCAGUGGCGAAGGCGGCUUUCUGGUCUGUAACUGACGCUGAGGCGCGAAAGCGUGGGGAGCAAACAGGAUUAGAUACCCUGGUAGUCCACGCCGUAAACGAUGAGUGCUAAGUGUUAGGGGGUUUCCGCCCCUUAGUGCUGCAGCUAACGCAUUAAGCACUCCGCCUGGGGAGUACGGCCGCAAAGGCUG
rnacentral:rRNA from 1 species